UCGNGCGGAUGAAAGGAGCUUGCUCCUGGAUUCAGCGGCGNACGGGUGAGUAAUGCCUAGGAAUCUGCCUGGUAGUGGGGGACAACGUUUCGAAAGGAACGCUAAUACCGCAUACGUCCUACGGGAGAAAGCAGGGGACCUUCGGGCCUUGCGCUAUCAGAUGAGCCUAGGUCGGAUUAGCUAGUUGGUGAGGUAAUGGCUCACCAAGGCGACGAUCCGUAACUGGUCUGAGAGGAUGAUCAGUCACACUGGAACUGAGACACGGUCCAGACUCCUACGGGAGGCAGCAGUGGGGAAUAUUGGACAAUGGGCGAAAGCCUGAUCCAGCCAUGCCGCGUGUGUGAAGAAGGUCUUCGGAUUGUAAAGCACUUUAAGUUGGGAGGAAGGGUUGUAGAUUAAUACUCUGCAAUUUUGACGUUACCGACAGAAUAAGCACCGGCUAACUCUGUGCCAGCCAGCCCGCGGUAAUACAGAGGGUGCAAGCGUUAAUCGGAAUUACUGGGCGUAAAGCGCGCGUAGGUGGUUUGUUAAGUUGGAUGUGAAAUCCCCGGGCUCAACCUGGGAACUGCAUCCAAAACUGGCAAGCUAGAGUAUGGUAGAGGGUGGUGGAAUUUCCUGUGUAGCGGUGAAAUGCGUAGAUAUAGGAAGGAACACCAGUGGCGAAGGCGACCACCUGGACUGAUACUGACACUGAGGUGCGAAAGCGUGGGGAGCAAACAGGAUUAGAUACCCUGGUAGUCCACGCCGUAAACGAUGUCAACUAGCCGUUGGGAGCCUUGAGCUCUUAGUGGCGCAGCUAACGCAUUAAGUUGACCGCCUGGGGAGUACGGCCGCAAGGUUAAAACUCAAAUGAAUUGACGGGGGCCCGCACAAGCGGUGGAGCAUGUGGUUUAAUUCGAAAGCAACGCGAAGAACCUUACCAGGCCUUGACAUCCAAUGAACUUUCCAGAGAUGG
rnacentral:rRNA from 1 species